ensembl:lncRNA
GGCAGAGCUUACAUGUCUGUGACUGAAUGAGUGUGUGUGUGUGUGUGUAUGUGACUGAAUUAGUUUGUGUGUGCCUGAAUGAGUGUGUAUGUGUGCAAGUGUGACUGAAUGAGUGUGUGUGUGCCUGAAUGAGUGUGUGUGCGUGUGUAUGUGACUGAAUGAGUGUGUGUGUGCCUGAAUGAGUGUGUGUGUGUGUAUGUGUGACUGACUGAGUGUGUGUGUGCCUCAAUGAGUGUGUGUGUGUGUGUGUGACUGAAUGAGGGUGUGUGUGUGUGCAUGUGUGUGACUGAAUGAGUGUGUGUGUGUGUGACUGUGUGAGUAUGUGGGUGUGUGUGUAGGUGACUGAAUGUGUGUGUGUGUGUGUGUGACUGUGUGAGUAUGUGUGUGUGUGUGUGUGUGUGUGUGUGUGACUGUGUGAGUAUGUGUGUGUGUAGGUGACUGCAUGUGUGUGUGUGUGUGUGUGUGUGACUGUGUGAGUAUGUGUGUGUGAGUGUGUGUGUGUGUGUAGGUGACUGCAUGUGUGUGUGUGUGUGUGUGUGUGACUGUGUGAGUAUGUGUGUGUGAGUGUGUGUGUGUGUGUAGGUGACUGAAUGUGUGUGUGUGUGUGUGACUGUGUGAGUAUGUGUGUGUGUGAGUGUGUGUGUGUAGGUGACUGAAUGUGUGUGUGUGUGUGUGUGUGGAGGGAGGUGACUGAAUGUGUGUGUGUGUGUGUGACUGUGUGAGUAUGUGUGUGUGUGAGUGUGUGUGUGUAGGUGACUGAAUGUGUGUGUGUGUGUGUGUGUGUGUGUGUGGAGGGGACUGAAUGUGUGUGUGUGUGUGUGUGGCGGUGACUGAAUGUGUGUGUGUGUGUGUGUGUGUGUGUGUGGAGGGAGGCUAAUAGAAGAAAGAAGAGACAGUGCAAGAAUCAAGAAUCAAUUUCACGACCUCAGCAAUCUGUCAGAGUCCAAAUCUUAUUAGAGAGAUGGCAACCUGUCUCAACGUGCAUUUGUGUGUCUAACGGACUGUAUGUGUGUGUGAGUGUGUGUAUGUAUACAGUAUGUGCAUGUACUGUAUGUCUGUGUGUGGGUGUGUUUGUAUACGUACAUGUGUGUAACUGUGUGUGUGUGUGUAUGCAACUGAAUAAAUGUGUGUCACUGUAUGUGUGUGUAUAUAUAUGCCUGCAUGUGUGUAACUGUGUGUGUGUAUAUAUACCUUCCACAAUCUAAGCUUAAAUCCAGGGGCGACCCCCUCUCUAUAAGAUCAGCCCCCUCUAUUGACUCCUUCAAGUCCACGCUCAAAACCUACUUUUAUUCCUUAGCAUUUGGAUCCCCUGAUUUUAGCUGAUCAUUUGUAUAUUUGUCUGUUUGAGGUGUUUCUGUUCUUUGAUGUGUAUAUAGAUGCUUAGUUGAGUGUGUUGCUUCUGUUUUUCUAUUUGUUUUGAUAUUUUAUUGUGAUUUAAUUCUACAGCACUUUGGUCAGCGUGAGUUGUUUUUAAAUGUG